GCCCGCGGCCUAUCAUCUUGUUGGUGGGGUAAUGGCCUACCAAGGCGUCAACGGGUAGCCGGCCUGAGAGGGUGGACGGCCACCUUGGGACUGAGAUACGGCCCAGACUCCUACGGGAGGCAGCAGUGGGGAAUAUUGCACAAUGGGCGCAAGCCUGAUGCAGCGACGCCGCGUGAGGGAUGACGGCCUUCGGGUUGUAAACCUCUUUCGACAGGGACAAAGCUUUUUGUGACGGUACCUGUAUAAGAAGCACCGGCUAACUACGUGCCAGCAGCCGCGGUAAUACGUAGGGUGCGAGCGUUGUCCCGAAUUACUGGGCGUAAAGAGCUCGUAGGUGGUUUGUCGCGUCGUCUGUGAAAUUCCGGGGCUUAACUCCGGGCGUGCAGGCGAUACGGGCAUAACUUGAGUGCUGUAGGGGAGACUGGAAUUCCUGGUGUAGCGGUGGAAUGCGCAGAUAUCAGGAGGAACACCGAUGGCGAAGGCAGGUCUCUGGGCAGUAACUGACGCUGAGGAGCGAAAGCAUGGGGAGCGAACAGGAUUAGAUACCCUGGUAGUCCAUGCCGUAAACGGUGGCCGCUAGGUGUGAGGGUCUUCCACGACUUUCGUGCCGUAGCUAACGCAUUAAGCGCCCNGCCUGGGGAGUACGGCCGCAAGGCUAAAACUCAAAGGAAUUGACGGGGGCCNGCACAAGCGGCGGAGCAUGUGGAUUAAUUCGAUGCAACGCGAAGAACCUUACCUGGGCUUGACAUACACAAGAUCGGCGUAGAGA
rnacentral:rRNA from 1 species